AUUUGGUGAUGUGGACAACUCGUAUAGAGUUUUUUAAAACGCUUCCAGUAUUCGUAUAAAGACUCUCUACUCUGCUGCCUAAUGCCUCAAAUUUCUUUCCUUAUGCU